rnacentral:misc_RNA from 1 species
GUGGAUUAUGCCUUCAUAGUGGGAUACACAGUCACUCCAAAUUUGUCCGCAUCCAACACAACAGUUGAAAGUGAACGUUUCUUAUGCAUUUGUGCGAUGAUCGUAUUGGAUUGCCCAAGAUAUAUGGUGCAAGACCUCUCAGACCAGCUUCCCUUGACCUUGAAAUCAGGGACAGUUUCUGCUGUGUUAGUAGCUAAGAAUACAUCUAAUUCUGUUUUGAUUUGGAUGAUAGACGAUUUCUUCACGCUGAAAAUUAAAUUUUUGGGGUUUGCGCUGUCUCCUCUGAAAACAAGCCAUCUCCUAUGGGCAGUGAAUAUCUUCUGUAGGAAAGUGGCAAUGACAUUGCCAGAGGGGUCAAGCAAAUAACGACGAUCAUGGAUGCUUAAGAGUUUACUUUUCACCCUUAAAAUCAGGUUGCCCAUAGUGUCGGUGACGCCUAAAUUACAUUCUCCAAGAGCCAAAAGCUUGGUGGACACUUGCAGGUCCAUCGGAUACUGUGCCAAGAACUGUGGUCCGAUCACCACCACUGGAGACUGCAACGGAGACUGCAACGGAGACUGUUGACAAGUUUUAAAUAUCGGAAUCGGGUUACUUGGAAAACGGGCCAUAAUAAAUCGCAGAAAAGAAAAAUAACAAGCUGAAAUUAGAAAGAGAAACAGAAAGCUAAAGCUAGCGAUGGAGAGAAC